CAUGCCUCCAACAAGGAGAAGGAGAUGAUCACCAGCCUCUUCUGCAAACUGGCCGCGCUGGUCCGGCACCGCGUCUCGCUCUUCGGCACGGACGCCCCGGCCGUGGUGAACUGUCUGCUCAUCCUGGCCCGAUCCCUGGACGCCAGGACGGUGAUGAAGUCAGGCCCCGAGAUCGUCAAGGCCGGGCUCCGCUCGUUCUUCGAGUCGGCGGCCG